AUUGAACGCUGGCGGCAUGCUUUACACAUGCAAGUCGGACGGCAGCACAGAGAAGCUUGCUUCUUGGGUGGCGAGUGGCGAACGGGUGAGUAACAUAUCGGAACGUACCGAGCAGUGGGGGAUAACUAAUCGAAAGAUUAGCUAAUACCGCAUAUCUUCUGAGGAAGAAAGCAGGGGACCAUUUGGCCUUGCGCUGUUUGAGCGGCCGAUAUCUGAUUAGCUAGUUGGUGGGGUAAAGGCCUACCAAGGCGACGAUCAGUAGCGGGUCUGAGAGGAUGAUCCACUACACUGGGAGUGAGACACGGCCCAGACUCCUACGGGAGGAAGCAGUGGGGAAUUUUGGGCAAGGGGCGCAAGCCUGAUCCAGCCAUGCCGCGUGUCUGAAGAAGGCCUUCGGGUUGUAAAGGACUUUUGUCAGGGAAGAAAAGGGCGGGGUUAAUACCCCUGUCUGAUGACGGUACCUGAAGAAUAAGCACCGGCUAACUACGUG
rnacentral:rRNA from 1 species